GAGGGGUGCUAGCGUUAUUCGGAAUUAUUGGGCGUAAAGGGUGCGCAGACGGCGUGUUAAGUCAACUGUUUAAUUCUCCGGCCUAACCGGAGGUCAGCGGUAGAUACUGGCAUGCUAGAGGAUGGAAGAGAGAAGUGGAAUUCUCGGAGUAGCGGUAAAAUGCGUAGAUCUCGAGAGGAACACCGAUGGCGAAGGCAGCUUCUUGGUCCAUCCCUGACGUUCAUGCACGAAAGCGUGGGGAGCAAACAGGAUUAGAUACCCUGGUAGUCCACGCCGUAAACGAUGAUCACUAGACGUCAGCUCUGUUUUGCAGGGUUGGUGUCGUAGCUAACGCGUUAAGUGAUCCGCCUGGGGACUACGAUCGCAAGAUUA
rnacentral:rRNA from 1 species